rnacentral:rRNA from 1 species
UACGAAGGGGGCUAGCGUUGCUCGGAAUCACUGGCGUAAAGCGCACGUAGGCGGAUUGUUAAGUCAGGGGUGAAAUCCUGGAGCUCAACUCCAGAACUGCCUUUGAUACUGGCGAUCUCGAGUCCGGGAGAGGUGAGUGGAACUGCGAGUGUAGAGGUGAAAUUCGUAGAUAUUCGCAAGAACACCAGUGGCGAAGGCGGCUCACUGGCCCGGUACUGACGCUGAGGUGCGAAAGCGUGGGGAGCAAACAGG